AGAACAAGAGAUGGUGGGAAAAUAAGAAAGGAAAAUAGAACAUUUUAGGCAAGGAGAAUAGUGUGUGUAAAGAUGGAGAAGUAUAAAGGAAAAUGUAGCUCAUUCCAGAAACUGCUAAAAGGAUCAACAUGCUGUAUUGUCAUGAGAGAGCCAAGAUUCUUCGAACGUAUUUAACUACUAGAGGGAAUGGCUCAGAAUCCCAAGUAUCAGCUUUAGUGCACAGAUAAAAUAUAAGAGAGAACUUGAGGUUGAUGUCAGAAGUAUUUCUAGUAGGGCCAAGAAAGCCUUUUUCUGGAAGACCUUUCCUUGGCACUUGAUAGAAGAGGCAGAGUAACUUUUCUUAGGUGGCAUAAUUCUUCAAAAUGUAUUCAUUUUCAGGAACAUGGUGAUGUAUGGUAAUACACAAGCAGGGAUCAGUAGUCCCAGAACUGAAGGAAGAAUUGACAAAUGUAUCAAAGAUGCCUAAUCAAAAUGUGUCCACACUCUGCUAAAGUCUGGUUGAGCAGAACUAACAA